rnacentral:rRNA from 1 species
GAGAAUCUGCCUUUAGGUCCGGGACAACCACUGGAAACGGUGGCUAAUACCGGAUGUGCCGCAACGUGAAAGGGGAAACCCGCCUGAAGAUGAGCUCGCGUCUGAUUAGCUAGUUGGUGAGGUAAAGGCUCACCAAGGCGACGAUCAGUAGCUGGUCUGAGAGGAUGACCAGCCACACUGGGACUGAGACACGGCCCAGACUCCUACGGGAGGCAGCAGUGGGGAAUUUUCCGCAAUGGGCGAAAGCCUGACGGAGCAAGACCGCGUGAGGGAAGAAGGCUCUUGGGUCGUAAACCUCUUUUGUCAGGGAAGAACACAAUGACGGUACCUGACGAAUCAGCCUCGGCUAACUCCGUGCCAGCAGCCGCGGUAAUACGGAGGAGGCAAGCGUUAUCCGGAAUUAUUGGGCGUAAAGCGUCCGUAGGUGGCUAGUCAAGUCUGCGGUCAAAGACUGGGGCUUAACCCUGGAAAGGCCGUGGAAACUGACGAGCUAGAGUGCAGUAGGGGUAGAGGGAAUUCCCGGUGUAGCGGUGAAAUGCGUAGAGCUCGGGAAGAACAUCGGUGGCGAAAGCGCUCUACUGGACUGCAACUGACACUCAGGGACGAAAGCUAGGGGAGCGAAUGGGAUUAGAUACCCCAGUAGUCCUAGCCGUAAACGAUGGAUACUAGGUGUGGCUUGU